GUAGGUGGCAAGCGUUGUCCGGAAUUAUUGGGCGUAAAGCGCGCGCAGGCGGUUCUUUAAGUCUGAUGUGAAGCCCACGGCUCAACCGUGGAGGGUCAUUGGAAACUGGAGAACUUGAGUACAGAAGAGGAAAGCGGAAUUCCACGUGUAGCGGUGAAAUGCGUAGAGAUGUGGAGGAACACCAGUGGCGAAGGCGGCUUUCUGGUCUGUAACUGACGCUGAGGCGCGAAAGCGUGGGGAGCAAACAGGAUUAGAUACCCUGGUAGUCCACGCCGUAAACGAUGAGUGCUAAGUGUUAGGGGGUUUCCGCCCCCCUUAGUGCUGCAGCUAACGCAUUAAGCACUCCGCCUGGGAGUACGGCCGCAAGGCUG
rnacentral:rRNA from 1 species